UAAUUCCGGAUAACGCACAUAUGCUGGAAUGCUUUAUGCGUAAAAUGGAUUCGUCUGCCCAAGGAUGGAUCUGCGGCCUAUCAGGUAGUAGUGGGUGUAAUGUACCUACUAGCCAACAACGGGUACGGGUUGUGAGAGCAAGAGCCCGGAGAUGGAUUCUGAGACAUGAAUCCAGGCCCUACGGGGCGCAGCAGGCGCGAAAACUUUACAAUGCGGGAAACCGUGAUAAGGGGACACCGAGUGCCAGCAUCAUAUGCUGGCUGUCCGGGUGUGUAAAAUACACCCGUUAGCAAGGGCCGGGCAAGACCGGUGCCAGCCGCCGCGGUAACACCGGCGGCCCGAGUGGUGAUCGUGAUUAUUGGGUCUAAAGGGUCCGUAGCCGGUUUGGUCAGUCCUCCGGGAAAUCUGACGGCUCAACCGUUAGGCUUUCGGGGGAUACUGCCAGGCUUGGAACCGGGAGAGGUAAGAGGUACUACAGGGGUAGGAGUGAAAUCUUGUAAUCCCUGUGAGACCACCUGUGGCGAAGGCGUCUUACCAGAACGGGUUCGACGGUGAGGGACGAAAGCUGGGGGCACGAACCGGAUUAGAUACCCGGGUAGUCCCAGCCGUAAACGAUGCUCGCUAGGUGUCAGGCAUGGCGCGACCGUGUCUGGUGCCGCAGGGAAGCCGUGAAGCGAGCCACCUGGAAUACGGCCGCAAGGCUGAA
rnacentral:rRNA from 1 species